rnacentral:rRNA from 1 species
ACGGCCGCGGUACCCUAACCGCGCGAAGGUAGCAUAAUCACUUGUUCUUUAAAUGAGGACUAGAAUCAACGGCAUCACGAGGGUUCUUCUGUCUCCUUUUUCUAAUCAGUGAAACUAAUCUCCCCGUGAAGAAGCGGGGAUAAAUCUAUAAGACGAGAAGACCCCAUGGAGCUUUAAACCUAGCCACACCCUAAAAUUCCUAUACCAUCUUAUUAACCAGGCUCUGCCCGCUAAGUUUUAGGUUGGGGCGACCGCGGAGUAAAACAAAGCCUCCACGAUGAACGAAACUACCCUCUAAUCUAAGAAGCUUACUUCUAAGAAUUAGUAUUCUAACAUAGCAUGAUCCGGUAACCGAUCAACGGACCAAGUUACCCUGGGGAUAACAGCGCAAUCCACUUCAAGAGCUCCUAUUAACAAGUGGGUUUACGACCUCGAUGUUGGAUCAGGGUAUCCCAGCGGUGCAGCAGCUGCUAACGGUUCGUUUGUUCAACGAUUAAAACCCU